rnacentral:rRNA from 1 species
CGGACGGGUGAGUAAUGUCUGGGAAACUGCCUGAUGGAGGGGGAUAACUGCUGGAAACGGUAGCUAAUACCGCAUAACGUCGCAAGACCAAAGAGGGGGACCUUCGGGCCUCUUGCCAUCGGAUGUGCCCAGAUGGGAUUAGCUAGUAGGUGGGGUAACGGCUCACCUAGGCGACGAUCCCUAGCUGGUCUGAGGGGAUGACCAGCCACACUGGAACUGAGACACGGUCCAG